UACGUAGGCAGCAAGCGUUGUUCGGAGUUACUGGGCGUAAAGGGUGUGUAGGCGGUUACUUAAGGUUGCUGGGAAAUCUCCCGGCUUAACCGGGAGGGUGCGGUGAAUACUGAGGGACUAGAGUACGGGAGAGGAAAGUGGAAUUCCUGGUGUAGCGGUGAAAUGCGUAGAUAUCAGGAGGAACACCGGCGGUGUAGACGGCUUUCUGGACCGUAACUGACGCUGAGACACGAAAGCGUGGGUAGCAAACAGG
rnacentral:rRNA from 1 species